rnacentral:rRNA from 1 species
UACGGAGGGGGCUAGCGUUGUUCGGAAUUACUGGGCGUAAAGCGCACGUAGGCGGCUUUGUAAGUUAGAGGUGAAAGCCCAGGGCUUAACCCUGGAAUUGCCUUUAAGACUGCAUCGCUAGAAUCGUGGAGAGGUAAGUGGAAUUCCGAGUGUAGAGGUGAAAUUCGUAGAUAUUGGGAAGAACACCGGUGGCGAAGGCGGCGCUCUGGACCGAGACUGACGCUGAGGCGCGAAAGCGUGGGGAGCAAACAGG